rnacentral:lncRNA from 1 species
CCGGGGGAGGCCGCCGAGACCCGCCAGACCCUCCUGAGCUGCGCCGAGCUGGGGCUGCGCCUCCUCGCCCCCUUCGCCCCCUUCCUGGCCGAGGAACUUUGGCAGCGCCUGCCCCGGGCCUCCCCGGCCUCCCCCACCAUCUGCCUCGCCCCCUUCCCCGACGCCGCCAUGCUGGCCCACUGGUGCUGCCCCGAGGUGGAGGCCGAGGUGGAGGCCAUGCGGGAGGUGGUCAGGGUGGUGAGGGCUCUGCGGGAGACUUUCCGCCUCGGCGCCGCGCGGCCCCACGUGGCCGUGCGGUGCCCGGAGGAGAUGAGGGCGGCGUUUCGGGAGCUCGGCCCCGCCCUCCAGGCCCUGGCGCAGGCGGGGCCUCUGAGGCUCCUCCCCCAGGGGGCGGAGCCAGAGCUGGGGCCCGGCUGGGUGGGGGCCCCGGCCGGCCCCGGAACCCACGUCUACCUCUGCCUGCAGGGCCUGGUGGAGCCCAGUGCCGAGCGCUCCCGGCUGAGCGCCCGCAGCCGCAGCCUCCAGCGCCGCCUCCAGGCCCUGACCCCGGAGGGGGGGGGGGACCCCUCCGCCGCCCCCCCCUCGCAGCAGCGCCAGGUACGGCCCUAAUUAGCGCUAAUUACCGCUAAUUAACAUCCUUACAGUGAAACCAGGGCGUUUUGCUAACGGGAGGGGCUUCCUUCGCCCCUUUCC